CGGCGGACGGGUGAGUAACACGUGGAUAACCUACCUAUAAGACUGGGAUAACUUCGGGAAACCGGAGCUAAUACCGGAUAAUAUAUUGAACCGCAUGGUUCAAUGGUGAAAGACGGUUUUGCUGUCACUUAUAGAUGGAUCCGCGCCGCAUUAGCUAGUUGGUAAGGUAACGGCUUACCAAGGCAACGAUGCGUAGCCGACCUGAGAGGGUGAUCGGCCACACUGGAACUGAGACACGGUCCAGACUCCUACGGGAGGCAGCAGUG
rnacentral:rRNA from 1 species